AUACUUACCUGACAGGGAGAUACCAUGAUCAUGAAGGUGGUUUUCCCAGGGUGAGGUUUAUCCAUUGUAUUGUGGAUGUGCUGACCCCUGUGAUUUUCCUAAAUGUGGGAAACUCAACUGCAUAAUUUGUGGUAGCGGGGGACUGUGUUCAUGCUCUCCCCUG